CCUGGUGUAGAAGCAUACAAAGCACCAUGGGAGAACAACUGUUUUGGAAGAUUAGUAGAGACAGAAUCCUUUGCACUUUUGGAACACUGGGUGUGCUACAAUGCAGGAUGUUUUUGGAUCCUGACUAUGGCUGAGGAAUUCUUGGGGUGACAAGGACAAGGAAGAGAUUUCUUCCCUCAUUGUCUGCUGCUGACUAGAGGUUUCACUUGUCAAUCUAGAUGCAUCACAUGGUGAAAAGAUGGUCUGGCAUCUUUAUUCUGGAUAGUUCAGUGACUUCUUUGAAGAAACUGGAGGGUUAAUGUUCUGUGGAGCAGGGAAUCAUGAGGGUACUCAGCCAGUAUAAGAUGUACAAGACCCAUUUUCUCCUAUGCUGAAUACCUGCUGCUGUAAUGAGGGAACAUCCUGGACAGAAAUGCAGAAGAACCAAAGGCAGGAUUUCCACAUAGCACCCCUGCCCCCUCCUUCUCCUGGACAGAACUGAUCUGAAUCACUUCCUUGAGAGGAAACUUUGCUAUUCUAAGCUCAUUCAAUCUGGAAAAAUUCUCCUCUUUCAUUAUUUACAUGGGGGCUUUAUUGCAGGAAUGGGCUGGGCAUGUUCAUGAGUGAUGACAAAUAGAAUGUAAUUUCUUAAUUGGUUGCUGUCUCUCACUCCAAUGGAAAUACAAAAUGUCUCUCAACUACUUUUUAUUAGGGGAAAGUACAGGUACUGAAUCUGAAACAGAAAAGUGGUUUUUUCCGUAUAGUCUUCUGGCCAUUUUUGGAUUAUUAAUCCCUCUGUGUGAAAAAGCAAUCUGGAUUAAGUUAGAUAUUUUAUUCAGAAUAGCUAAUGCAAAAUGAACAGCUCUAU